CCCACCCCCAUCCCAAGUUCAACAUUUGCACAACUAAUGAGCAAAACAUUUCAGCUGAAACUCUUUUUUUUAACUUGCAAACUAUGGCUGCAUACCAAAUUACAGUGUUUAUUUAAAAGGCAUCAAUAUUUAAUUAGGUUUAUUCUAAUCUCCCGUUAGUCUGCUCAGAAGUCUCAUUGUGGCUGUUGAAAUAUUUAAAUUCAUUAGAGCUAAGAGAAAGAUGCUUUGCUUAAUUGUACAGGUAGUUCCUGGAAAAAAAUAAUGUUCACGCAGACACACUAUGGAUUCUGUUCCUUAAGGGUUUAAAGGUUCAGGAUAUUUAAUGUAUUUGCUGCUGAUAUUAAUUAGCUUCGAAAGCAAGACAAUGUGUUGUGUUUUACCGGAAGGUAUCUUGCGCGUGUGUGUACUUGUUUAUCAGAUAAAACCCCUAACGUUUAAUAAUACUGUAUAGUGAUAAUGACAACUGUGUGUGUGUCUGUACGCACGUCUCUGUGCGUGUGUGUGUGUGUAUCAGAGGGAGCACCCCCCCAUCCACAUCGAUGGGACUACAGUGGAGAAUUUGAAAGCUUCAAGUUCCUUGGCGUACACAUCACUGACCAUCUGAAAUGGUCCACCCACGCAGACAGUGUGGUGAAGAAGGCGCAACAGCGCCUCUUCAACCUUGAGGAGGCCAUUGUCACUUAGGGGUGUACUCACUUUUGUUGCCAGCGGUUUAGACAUUAAUGGCUGUGUGUUGAGUUAUUUUGAGGGGACAGCAAAUUUACACUGUUAUACAAUCUGUACACUCACUACUUUACAUUGUAGCAAAGUGUCAUUUCUUCAGUGUUGUCACAUGAAAAGAUAUACUCAAAUAUUUACAAAAAUGUGAGGGGUGUACUCACUUUUGUGAUAUACUGUAUGUGUAUGUGACCAAUAACAUUCGAUUUGUAUGUGUGAUUGUCUGUGUACAUACACUAUCAGCUACCUCAGAAUAAUUGCUGUGUGUUUGUCCAGCGAUCACAAGCCUCUCAUCCCUGCUCUAUACAUAUUUCCCCAUAGCCUGAUUUCUAGGCGUCACUGCACACGUCUCUGGCCAAACAACGUUUUUUAUUUACUUCAAUCUGAUCUUUCUUCACUACUUUUCAUGUAGCAUUAUCCAGAACAAAUAUCUGUGCAUAGUAUUUCUAAGCCAAAUAAUGCAUGGUUGUUGAAUCUAUAUUUCUCAUGAAAGUCUGUAAGAGCAUGAUACCUGUAGCAUUUAAACUAAAAUGACCAUGG
ensembl:lncRNA